rnacentral:rRNA from 1 species
GACGAACGCUGGCGGCGUGCUUAACACAUGCAAGUCGAACGGAAAGGCCCUGCUUUUGUGGGGUGCUCGAGUGGCGAACGGGUGAGUAACACGUGAGUAACCUGCCCUUGACUUUGGGAUAACUUCAGGAAACUGGGGCUAAUACCGGAUAGGAGCUCCUGCUGCAUGGUGGGGGUUGGAAAGUUUCGGCGGUUGGGGAUGGACUCGCGGCUUAUCAGCUUGUUGGUGGGGUAGUGGCUUACCAAGGCUUUGACGGGUAGCCGGCCUGAGAGGGUGACCGGCCACAUUGGGACUGAGAGACGGCCCAGACUCCUACGGGAGGCAGCAGUGGGGAAUAUUGCACAAUGGGCGGAAGCCUGAUGCAGCAACGCCGCGUGCGGGAUGACGGCCUUCGUGUUGUAAACCGCUUUCACCUGUGACGAAGCGUGAGUGACGGUAAUGGGUAAAGAAGCACCGGCUAACUACGUG